UUUUAAUCUAAAACAAGCUAUAUGACUGUCUUUGUAGCAUGGAGAUUAAAAAAGCUUCUCUGAGUGGGGUGGGGAGAGGAUGGUUGGGUCUUAUCUUUCCUAACAGGAAAUUGUUCACAAUCAUUGAGAGAUAUUUGUAAGAGUCAGAUAGAUGAAGAUCAAAAUAUCAGCUUUAUUACUGAGCACCUUGGGUGCACCAAGAUUUGGGCGAAGUGAUCCUAGGAAGUAUAGUGAAGAAGGAGAUCAGGGCAAAGGACAGGGAGCUGAUUAUCAAAGAAAAGGAAAAGGUAGAUAGCACUUCCCUAUCACCAGGUUGCUAACAGCCUCCAGGGGAGGGGAAGGAUUACCUUUCCAACACAAGCAAUCACUUCCUGGAUGGCUCUCCUCCUGCCUUUUGAUCACAUAGACAUGAGAAGAAAGAAAACCUAAAAUCUAUAAAGGGACAAGACACCCCACUGCCAUAGGCACCAGCUCUGGGCCCCUUUCUUUCUGGAGCGCUCUCUCUCUCUCUCUCUCUCUCUCUCUCUCUCUCUGUUCUGUUUCUUAAAUAAAUUUUACUUUCUUCUCUUGCCUCGGUAUUUCUCAGGUGUUUAAUCUUCAAAACAGGGGGACGAGGACCCAAUCCUGAUUUUCAAGACCGAUAUCAGUGAUCCUAGGAAGUAUAAUGAGGAUGUAGGAAAAAGAAACAGAGAAGGGUGAAAAGCUAGUAAAGAAUGUGUCAGUGAGCUCAGUCCCACUGAGGACCUUCUGAGAAACUGUAUGAAACACAACUUAGAAUGGCCCCACUGGAAGACAGGGAGAUUGUCCCAUUGGUUGAAGAUGGUGUUUAUUAACAGCGCCCCCCUCCUUACUUUCCUUCUCCUCUUCUUCCUCCUCCUCCUCCUCCUCCUCCUCUUCCUCCUCCUCCUCCUCUUUCUCCUCCUCUUCUUCCCCCUCCUCCUUCUUUUUUGUACUAGGGAAUUGAGCUAUUGAACCCAGGGGUGAUUUUCCAUUGAGCUACACCCCCAG
rnacentral:lncRNA from 1 species